rnacentral:lncRNA from 1 species
GCGGGGGCGCCGAGGGCCUGGCUCUGCGCAGCGGGGAAAGGAAGUGGGACCCGAGUCUACCCGGUGCCGCCUGGCUGGCUAACUUCAGGGGUUUCGGUGGGUUCGUGGCAAAUGCAGCGUCGGCAGGGAUGCCGCGCUGACUGAGGACACAGGCCGGUCACGUUCUCAGACCCACUCCGUCGAAGCAAGACUCUGAGAAGACGCCAGGAAGCCCUUGCUUGGCCCUCUCGUGACCCGGCGCUCUUGACUCCCACGGGCGCUCCUCAGCCUCUCGAGCGGGGAGCUGAAAACAGCACCUCUGACAGCGAAGAGGCCGAAGCAUCCGGCCGCAGGGAACUGGCGGGCGGCCCUGCGACAGAGUGGCCGCUCGCGGGAUGAACGACCUGCUUUCCUCCUCUGUCCUCCAGACACCGUCAGAGCCACUGACAGGAGCUCUCAUCUCCUCCGUGGUCCGUCUGAAGUGGUUGGGUUGCCGGUUAGGUACCGAUUUGUCUAGAAGCAGCUGCGUUGUAAGAAGUCGAACUCCGGCGGGUCCUGGGCCUCAAACGCUGAAGCCUCGCAUCCGUCUCGGGAGACCCGCGCGGGGUGGAGGCGCCUGGUGGGCUGCGGGCUGCCCCGCGGGAACUAGAACUGGCAGUGGUGGCUGUGUUGCAGAAAACUUUAUUCAACUGUGACUUUUUUUUCUGGCAAAAAGAGCAGGGAGAGGGCACAAGAAUUUCCUGAUGGUCCAAAGCCAGAGCUCUAGGUGUGGGCUCUCCCCGGAGUAGACUCAGCUAAGAAGCACCGAGAAGCGGCUGCUCACCCAUCCAGACAGAGGAUGCGGUGUCUGCUGUGUCCUCCGUCCUGCCGGUCAGUAAAAGACGCAGGUCCCCGGUGUUCUGGAAAGUCGCUGUGCUUCAGGGAGGGGGGUGAUACACGAGUUAAAGGAAGCGACGUCUCCCACGCCCACCAGUGGGCCGUCUCCCUGUCCCCACUUGGGCUGACGAGCAAAGCCCCCCAUCCUGGGGCCAGAGGCCACCAGCAGCCCCCCCAGUUACAACCUGUCGCGCUGUGUCUCCUUCCAGGUGCCUGCGAAAGUCAUGGGCUUGAUGCCCGUCACCUCUAAGCAGGUGACCCACCUGCCCUGCCACAGCUCUGUGCCAGGUGGGGGGUUCUCCUCUGUGGGCAGGUGGCCCAGGGUGCCACAGCUGCCCACCCUUCUCCAGCCUAGAUGGCAGCUCCUGCCCGCGGCCUAGGUCCAAGUUAGGCCCAGUGGAUGGAACGCCUCACAGUUCAGCAACAGCAGCUGAAAUGACAACAAUCAGACCAGGAACCAAAGUACUGAGGGAUGGCGACUGCAGAAGGACAUCUGGAAAACAAAGCCCCGAGCAGGGACAGCCCCUCCGGUGACUGGCAUGCUCUCUGUGGCGCCCCUCACAUCCCCCAGGGACAUCCGUGGUGGUGGUGGCGGCCACACCAGGGCACUUUCCUCCCGAGAGUGAGACCAGGGGGCUGAGGGCCUUGGGAGCCAAGUGACCUCGGCAUUUUGUUCCCAGCGUGGGGUCCGGCAGCAACCGACUUCCCGUCCUGGAGAGCUCAGGAGCUUACGGUUGAGCUGCUUCCGUCCCCAGCCUGCUUUCCUUUCUGAGUUUCAGUCCGUUUUUGCUUUCUGAUCAGAACCGUGAAGGCUGAGGCCGGGCUCCUGCUCUUUACAGGUACUGUUCCCAGGCCAGCACCCAGGCUGGGCUGCACUGUCACCCUCCCCCGGGGCACAGACCACAUCCGGGACGUCUGCAUGUGACUGAGGCCCUGUUCCCUCACUUGUCAUGGAGGCUGGGCUGGGUGUCAGGCCUGGGACCCGGACAAGCCAGCACUCGAGGUGUGAUCUCUGCUACUCAGCUGCCCCGGCUCUUGUCCCCGCCACUUGCUGCUGUGUGACACGGGAUAAGCUGUGAACCCGAGCCUGGGUCCUCACCUGUAAAACGCAGAUACCCACCUCAUGGGACUGUUAGGAGAAAUGAAUGAGUUAAUAUGUGUAAAACCCAACUUAGGCCAGCGCCUGGCAUAAAACAACAUAAGUGUGUUCGCCAUCAGCAUGGUGAUCCGCCACCGCUGGCACAGCCCCAUUCCCUUUGCACCCACUGGUUGGUUCUGAAUGUGAUGCAAUUCUAGACAGACGUGGGGGGCAGGGCGUGUGCAUCAGUGGAGCCAAGGCAUCUGCAAAAGAGACACAGAAAAGUCAGUCCACUUGUUCACCUACACCAUAGCCUGCACAUGGUCUUGUUUUGAUGUGAUACCUGGAACUGUGGCAGCUAUCCUGUAACCAUGAGGCCUGAUGCUGGAUGUUCAUGUGGGAGGAGGGUGCCCACCAGGACAAAACUGGGACUCUGCUAAGCACAGCAGAGCUAAAAGAGCUUUUAAAGAAGCAACCUACACACCCAAAGCCUUUUUGUGUCCUCCCUGCCCAGUUUUCAGCUCUGUGAUCCCUCACACCUGAAAACUGGGGAACAACAAAGUGACCUUGAGUUUGGAGAGGCAGUUCCCUUGGAUAAAGGAACAAUGACUAAAUAAGCAAGUAGGUAGGUGGGCUCUGGUCUGCAGUUAUAUUUAAAAGAUUUAGGAGGAGGUCCCAUCGUGACUCAGCAGUUAACAAAACCAACUAGCAUCCAUGAGGACGCAGAGUGGAUCCCUGGCCUCAUUCAGUGGGUUAAGGAUCCAGCAUUGCCGUGAGCUGUGGUGUAGGUCACAGACAGCUCAGAUCCCGAGGUGCUGUGGCUGUGACAUAGGCCGACAGCUACAGCUCUGAUUGGACUCCUAGCCUGGGAACCUCUAGUAGGGUCCUUAAAAGACAGACAGACAUAAAUAAGUAAAAGAUUUAGGUUGGACUAUGAGCUCAGAUGCCCAGGCCCUCAGCAGGCUGGGCUGAAGCUGCCUGUGAUCAAGGCCGAGAAGCUACUCCACCCCACUUUCUUGCUGGAUUCUUUUUUUUUUUUUUUUUGGUUUUUUUUUUUUUUGGUCUUUUUUGUCUUUUUGCCAUUUCUUGAGCUGCGCCCAUGGCACAUGGCGGUUCCCAGGCUAGGGGUGGAAUCAGAGCUGUAGCUGCCAGCCUACACCAGAGCCACAGCAGCGCAGGAUCUGAGCCGCGUCUGCGACCUACACCACAGCUCACGGCAACGCCAGAUCGUUAACCCACUGAGCGAGGGCAGGGAUCGAACCUGCAACCUCAUGGUUCCUAGUCGGAUUCGUUAACCACUGAGCCACAACGGGAACUCCCCUUGCUGGAUUUUUAAUUCAACAGGCCCUGGAACCCGCACUCUCAAUAACACAAUGGCAUCCAUUUCACUUUACUUUUGAGCCACCACCAAUCAACCUACUUCUUUUAGAGCAGCUGAAAAACAUAAUUCUGAAUCCCGUUUGGAGAGUUUCUGGUAACUGAUAUUGCAUAUCAAAGCACAAAAAAUGACAAGAAAUUGACACCGGAAGAUCAAAAACAGGCUUGUUUUAUUUAUACACAGAACAAGGUAUUUACAACCCCAGAUGUGGAUAUGUACAUAGCGAUACAGGAGGCGGUGCGGCCCGGGGGGCUCUGUAUAAGUUAAGACCAUAAAUACGAGGGGGAGCCCCACCCGAGGGCACAAAGCUUUUCGCCAAGCCUCCAGGGAUCCUUCCUGCCGCGGUCUACACUGACAGGACCGUGGACCCAGAGCGACAGCCGUCCAGCCACAGGGCGGUUGGGGUUGGGGGGGGGAGGGGGACAGCCCCACGUGCAGCAACGAAGACACCACAAGGCGCAGGGGGCGCCGCCCUGAACGACGCGGCUUCAUGCAACGCUCGUGCUCAUUCCUCUCACUCCAACGCACUAGACUCAGAAACGGUUUCACGGGAACAGUGUUGCUCUAGUCGCCGACAAGGUUAUUUUCCACCCCAGCUCCACCUCAACCUCAGGCCUUCCCCCAGCAGGGCGCCGAGGGCUGGGGCAGCCCUGGUGGCCGCCGCCCCCCCCCCCUUCGCGCCAUCCUCUCGACGGAGUCCCCAAGGUCCGGCCGCACCUGGGGAACCUCAGACCCCUGGGUGCCCCCACCUGAAGCCACGGAGCAG